rnacentral:rRNA from 1 species
CCUGCCCUGUACAGGGGGAUAACAGCUGGAAACGGCUGCUAAUACCGCAUAAGCGCACGAGGAGACAUCUCCUUGUGUGAAAAACUUCGGUGGUACAGGAUGGGCCCGCGUCUGAUUAGCUGGUUGGCAGGGUAACGGCCUACCAAGGCAACGAUCAGUAGCCGGUCUGAGAGGAUGAACGGCCACAUUGGAACUGAGACACGGUCCCAAACUCCUACGGGAGGCAGCAGUGGGGAAUAUUGCACAAUGGGGGAAACCCUGAUGCAGCAACGCCGCGUGAGUGAAGAAGUAUUUCGGUAUGUAAAGCUCUAUCAGCAGGGAAGAUAAUGACGGUACCUGACUAAGAAGCUCCGGCUAAAUACGUGCCAGCAGCCGCGGUAAUACGUAUGGAGCAAGCGUUAUCCGGAUUUACUGGGUGUAAAGGGUGCGUAGGUGGCAGUGCAAGUCAGAUGUGAAAGGCCGGGGCUCAACCCCGGAGCUGCAUUUGAAACUGCAUAGCUAGAGUACAGGAGAGGCAGGCGGAAUUCCUAGUGUAGCGGUGAAAUGCGUAGAUAUUAGGAGGAACACCAGUGGCGAAGGCGGCCUGCUGGACUGUUACUGACACUGAGGCACGAAAGCGUGGGGAGCAAACAGGAUUAGAUACCCUGGUAGUCCACGCCGUAA